ACUCACCACCCCUGUCACACUCUCCCCCUAUGCACAACUCAGUCACCCUCAUAAGCAGGCACCCCACCACAGACAGUAGCCCCCAUACACAAACAGUCAACACUGACACACAACACAGCCUUGCCAGAAACACAACGCAAACAACAAAACCACAAGCAGCCCCCAUACACAACACACUGCAAGCAUCUGCUAUACACAGAGAAACACAUGUUCAAUGACACAGAUAUUCAUUCCAAACUUACUCACUGAUACACAUGCAUACAGACACUCAUACAUUCACA